UGAAUGUUGGUUCAGAUCUGUGGUGAACUUAAUUCCUUUCAUCAGUGGUCACCAUUUAGUUGCGUUUUUAUAACUAAUAAUGUCGUCUCGUUAAAGGUUAAAGGAAUCACCAUUCAUAUUUUCGCAGGCAUGUCUGGGUGUUAAGAAGCUUGCGUCCCAACCACAAGGCUCCGGGUUCAGUACCACAACAUGUCACCUCGCUCAAGUGUCUUCUACAAUAGCCGCAGGAAUGGAUUUGGUAGAUGGAAACUGAAAAAAGUCCAUCGUAUAUAUAUAUAUAUAUAGGGAGAAUUCACAAAAAAAAAAACAAAAGACGAAGACAAGUGGUGUAGAAAACAAACAGAUGUAUUAGUAAUAACGCUCGAGAAGUGAAAAAGUCUUUUACGUUUCGAGCCUACGCUCUUCCACAGAAAGAAACAAGGAGAAAAAAUAAAGAAUGUGUAGUGGCUAGCGAUAUAUAUAUAUGUUUGUGUGUUUGUGUGUGUGUGUGUGUGUGUGUGUGUGUGUGUGUCUUUGUAUCUGUGUUUGUCCCCCACUACCGCUGCUGAUGUGUUUGCGUCCCCAGUAACCUAGCGGUUCGGCAAAAGAUAUUGAUAAAAUAAGUACCAAGCUUAAGAUAACAUUACUGGGGCUGAUUCAUUCGACCUAAAAUUCUUCAAGUUGGUGCCCCAGCAUGGCCGCAGUUCAAUAACUGAAACAAAUAUAAGAUAAACGAUAAAGACAUUAAUAUCAUUUACAAUAUAUUUAUCCUUUCUCAAUUUGUGGUUUCGAUUCCUGGACCGGGCGACGCGUUGUGCUCUUGAGCAAAACACUUCAUUUUUCACGUUGCUCCAGUCCACUCAGCUGGCAAAAAUGAGUAACACUGUGAUGGACUGGCGUCCCGUCCAGCUGGGAGGAACACAUACAACAUUGAUACCGAGAAACCGGGCCUAUGAGCCUGGCUAGGCUUUAAAAAAGGGCGCAUGUGGAGACGUGUGGUUUAGUGGUAAGGGUGUCAGCAUCAUGAUCGUAAGAUUGUGGUUUCGAUUCCUUGACCGGGCGACGCGUUGUUUUCUUGAGCAUAACACUUCAUUUUUCACGUCGCUCCAGUCCAUUGAGUUGGCAAAAAUGAGUAACGCUUUAAAGGCUUUAAAGGGGUGCAUUAUUUUAUACUGGAGCGGCAAGAAAGCAAGUGUGUAUAUCAAUCUCAUAAAUACGCAGUUCAGUUCGAGAAUCGAACUCUGGCACAAAUGGACAUGAUCCCUACAUCCUAACCCCUAGGCCACACGCUUUUGCGAGAUACUGAUGUUUCUUUGUCAAAACAUUACAUUUAUACGUCUCUCUCUUUACUAUUUUACUUGUUUCAGUCAUUUGACUGCGGCCAUGCUGGAGCACCGCCUUUCAUCGAGCAACUCGACCCCGAGACUUAUUCUUUUGUAAGCCCAGUACUUAUUCUAUCGGUCUCUUUUGCCGAACCGCUAAGUAACGGGGACAUAAACACACCAGCAUCGGUUGUCAAGCAAUGCUAGAGGGACAAACACAGACACACAAACACACACACGCAUAUAUAUAUAUAUAUAUAUAUAUAUAUUUAUAUAUAUAUACAUAUAUACGACGGGCUACUUUUCAGUUCCCGUCUCCAAAUCCACUCACAAGGCUUUGGUCGGUCCGAGGCUAUAGUAGAUGACACUCGCCCAAGGUGCCACGCACUGGGACUGAACCCAGAACCAUGUGGUUGGUAAACAAGCUACUUACCACACAGCCACUCCGUCUCUGUGUAGUACAGUUUCAGUUAUAGGGGUUAAACAGCGUUGGUCCGUAAUUAACAACUUAGGAUAUUAUGAACGCUCAAAUGACGUAAUCCCAGAAACAAAAUGCAGUUUUCCGGUCCUAAUGACUUCCACAUGAAGUACGAUGACACUCACAUUUCUAAAUUGGCAGAAUUAUUAGAGCAUCACAUAAAACCACCUUGCAAUAUUUGUUCCGGUUGUUUACGUGCAAUAAGAGUUCAAAUCUCUCUACAGAAUGCAUUUCCCUUUUUCUUUGACGUACUUCCCCGGGUUCGAUUGAAUAAAAAAAAUUCUAGUCAUUUACAUGAGUAGUUAUAAUCGACUGUUCCAGAUUAAGGCUUUGUGCUACAGUAAGUAAUCGAUAUUUCUAAGAUAAGGCGGCGAGCUGGCAGAAUCGGUAGCACGCCGGGCGAAAUGCUUAUCGUUAUUUCGUCUGCCGCUACGUUCUGAGUUCAAAUUCCGCCGAGGUCGACUUUGCCUUUCAUCCUUUCGGGGUCGAUUAAAUAAGUACCAGUUACGUACUGGGGUCGAUAUAAUCGACUUAAUCUGUUUGUCUGUCAUUGUUUGUCCUCUCUGUGUUUAGCCCCUUGUGGGUAGUAAAGACAGAGAUAUUUCUAAGAUAAGCAUAUCAGCCACAGAAUCUCGUUUGAUUUCAUUCUUCAUGCCUAGAUCAUUUUGUCUUUAUUGAAAUCAAUUUUGAUAGAGAUUUGGCGCGGAAUCAAUAACGGUCU
rnacentral:lncRNA from 1 species